rnacentral:lncRNA from 1 species
GUGAUGAUCAUCUACGAGAGGGGAGAGUGAAUCUACAUACCCUUGUAGAUCGCUAAGCGGAAGCAUAUAUAACGUGGUUGAUGUAGUGUAACAUCUUCACGAUCCAAAUCACAGCCCGUCCCGCGAUCUCAUCACGAUCCAUCCCGAUCUAGUGCCGAACGGACAGCACCUCCGCGUUCAGCACACGUACGGCUCGAUGACGUGUCCUCCUUCUUGAUCCAGCAAGAAAGGAAGGAGAAGUAGAUGGGAUCUCAACCAGCAUGACGUCAUGGUGGAGAUGAUGGUGGAACAGUGCCAGCAGAGCUUCGUCAAGCGAUGUCGGAACCAAUCUUAGGAGAAAACGGAGUUAUGUGAGAGGUAGGACUGUUAUCGGGGCAUGGGAAUUGGUGUGUUCAGCCCCUCCCUCUCCCCCACUAUAUAUAUGAGGCUAGGAGGAGGGUUGGGUCGUUCUCCAAGGAGGGGGCGUGGGCCUAGGGAGGUUUCCUCCCUCCCCAAGGCACCUAGGAGGUGCCUUCCCCUUUAGGGACUCUUCCCUCCCAAC